UACGUAGGGUGCAAGCGUUGUCCGGAAUUAUUGGGCGUAAAGAGCUCGUAGGCGGUUUGUCGCGUCUGCUGUGAAAACUCGGGGCUUAACUCCGGGCCUGCAGUGGGUACGGGCAGACUAGAGUGCGGUAGGGGAGACUGGAAUUCCUGGUGUAGCGGUGGAAUGCGCAGAUAUCAGGAGGAACACCGGUGGCGAAGGCGGGUCUCUGGGCAGUAACUGACGCUGGAGGAGCGAAAGCGUGGGGAGCGAACAGG
rnacentral:rRNA from 1 species